UACGAAGGGGCUAGCGUUGUUCGGAUUUACUGGGCGUAAAGGGCGCGUAGGCGGGCCGAUAAGUCAGGGGUGAAAUCCCAAGGCUCAACCUUGGAACUGCCUUUGAUACUGUUGGUCUUGAGUCCGGGAGAGGUGAGUGGAACUGCGAGUGUAGAGGUGAAAUUCGUAGAUAUUCGCAAGAACACCAGUGGCGAAGGCGGCUGCCUGGCCCAAUACUGACACUCAGG
rnacentral:rRNA from 1 species